AUUGAACGCUGGCGGCAGGCCUAACACAUGCAAGUCGAGCGGUAGAGAGGUGCUUGCAUCUCUUGAGAGCGGCGGACGGGUGAGUAAUGCCUAGGAAUCUGCCUAGUGGUGGGGGAUAACGUUCGGAAACGGACGCUAAUACCGCAUACGUCCUACGGGAGAAAGCGGGGGAGUCUUCGGACCUCGCGCCAUUAGAUGAGCCUAGGUCGGAUUAGCUAGUUGGUGAGGUAAUGGCUCACCAAGGCGACGAUCCGUAACUGGUCUGAGAGGAUGAUCAGUCACACUGGAACUGAGACACGGUCCAGACUCCUACGGGAGGCAGCAGUGGGGAAUAUUGGACAAUGGGCGAAAGCCUGAUCCAGCCAUGCCGCGUGUGUGAAGAAGGUCUUCGG
rnacentral:rRNA from 1 species